rnacentral:rRNA from 1 species
GACAGAGGGGGCAAGCGUUGCUCGGAAUUACUGGGCGUAAAGGGCGCGUAGGCGGCGCGGUAAGUCACUUGUGAAAUCUCUGAGCUUAACUCAGAACGGCCAAGUGAUACUGCAGUGCUAGAGUGUGGAAGGGGCAAUCGGAAUUCUUGGUGUAGCGGUGAAAUGCGUAGAUAUCAAGAGGAACACCUGAGGUGAAGACGGGUUGCUGGGCCAACACUGACGCUGAGGCGCGAAAGCCAGGGGAGCAAACGGG